rnacentral:rRNA from 1 species
AAGYUAAACUGACGCUCAUGCMGAAAGCGUGRGGGAUCAAACAGGAUUAGAUWCCCUGGUAGUMCACGCUGUAAACGAUGAWUACUCGARUUUGGCGAUWCACAGUCAGCGUSUGAACGRAAGUAUUAAGUAAUCCACCUGGGGAGUACGUUCGCAAGRAUGCAACUCAAAGGAAUUGACGGGGGCCCGCACAAGCGGAGGAGCAUGUGGUUUAAUUCGAUGAUACGCGAGGAACCUUACCUAGACUUAAAUGUAGAUUGACCGGAGGGGAAACCUUUUUUUCAGCAAUGACAAUUUACAAGGUGCUGCUUGGUUGUCGUCAGCUCGUGCCGUGAGGUGUCAGGUUAAGUCCUAUAACGAGCGCAACCCCUAUUCUUAGUUGCCAGCAUGUGAUGAUGGGGACUCUAAGGAAACUGCCUACGCAAGUAGAGAGGAAGGUGGGGAUGACGUCAAAUCAGCACGGCCCUUACGUCUAGGGCUACACACGUGCUACAAUGGUAGKUCCAKKGGGGAGSUACACGGUGACGGAUCCWAUCUCGAAACUCUAUCUCAGUUCGGAUCGAAGUCUCAACCCGCUUCGGAAGUGGAUUCGCUAGWAU